AUGAUGCCUAGAAGAAGCUUCUUCUCUACAAGUUACUCUAUGGCGGUGUACCUGGUCAAACAGCUGUCAUCUACAAUGCUAUUGCAGAGGCUGCGGGCUAAAGGCAUCAGAAAUCCAGAUCACUCCAGGGCACUCAGUAAGCAAAUUCCCCAUAGAAAUAGAGAUGUUCUGUUUGUUUUGUGUAAGAUUUUAAACAUUCUUAUUCAGCAAGGACUCAUUAAGACAUUAAAAAUGUUACAAAAGAGUUCUAUUUCAAAUAAAUGCUGUUGUUUUGAACUUUAUAUUAAAAAAAUCUAUCCGUUUCCACAAAAAGAUAUUUCGCAGCACAACUGUUGAGAAUGUUUCUCAAGUAACAAAUCAGCAUAUUAGAAUGAUUUCUGGAGGACCGUGUGACACUGAAGACUGGGGGAAUGAUGCUGAAAAUUUAAAACAUUUUUAAAUAUAUUUAAAUAGAAAACUGCUUUUUGAAAGUUUGGUUCCAACCGUAAUUCAACACCUGAAGCAGCUCUUCCUAUGCAUACCAUACACUUCCAGGUGUGCUGAGGCAACAUUAAAACUAGCUUAUGUAAGUGUUGCGAAAUAAGGCAGAUAAACACUUAUUUCUGACUUUAAAGAACAGCAUAAACAACUUUUGGCCUGAGAACUGAAAACCGAAACACCCAAAGGACAGACUCUGCCCAAUGACAUUUCUUAUUGGUCUGUUGCUAUGACCUUGAUUGUAGAAUGAUGUCAUGUUGCUAUUUUCAGUCUUUGGCUCUUCAUUAUAUGCUAUAAUCUAUGCAAUAAAUACAGGCGGUGUGUCAAACUCAGUGUAGAGCAGGAGCGCUGCCGCCAUCUGGUGGUUAGAAAACAAACCUGACCAAAUUAAAUUAUACUUCUAGUAAUAUUAAUACACUUUAGUAUUUUAUAAAAUGUUGCUUAUUGAUUAUUGUUUCUAUAUUGUGAGUAUGUGUGUUUGUUCGGGUACAUUGUACAGAAUAAAUUAAAAUAAAAUAAAAUAAAAUAAAAUAAAA
rnacentral:lncRNA from 1 species